rnacentral:rRNA from 1 species
GAUGAACGCUGGCGGCGUGCCUAAUACAUGCAAGUCGAGCGAACGGACGAGAAGCUUGCUUCUCUGAUGUUAGCGGCGGGCGGGUGAGUAACACGUGGAUAACCUACCUAUAAGACUGGGAUAACUUCGGGAAACCGGAGCUAAUACCGGAUUAUAUUUUGAACCGCAUGGUUCAAAAGUGAAAGACGGUCUUGCUGUCACUUAUAGAUGGAUCCGCGCUGCAUUAGCUAGUUGGUAAGGUAACGGCUUACCAAGGCAACGAUGCAUAGCCGACCUGAGAGGGUGAUCGGCCACACUGGAACUGAGACACGGUCCAGACUCCUACGGGAGGCAGCAGUAGGGAAUCUUCCGCAAUGGGCGAAAGCCUGACGGAGCAACGCCGCGUGAGUGAUGAAGGUCUUCGGAUCGUAAAACUCUGUUAUUAGGGAAGAACAUAUGUGUAAGUAACUGUGCACAUCUUGACGGUACCUAAUCAGAAAGCCACGGCUAACUACGUG